GUGGGGAAUAUUGGGCAAUGGGCGAAAGCCUGACCCAGCAACGCCGCGUGAGGGAAGAAGGCCUUCGGGUUGUAAACCUCUGUCCUUGGUGACGAAAAAAAUGACGGUAGCCAAGGAGGAAGCCCCGGCUAACUACGUGCCAGCAGCCGCGGUAAUACGUAGGGGGCGAGCGUUGUCCGGAAUUACUGGGCGUAAAGGGUGCGUAGGUGGCCUUUUAAGUUGGAUGUGAAAUCCCCGGGCUUAACUUGGGUGGUGCAUCUAAUACUGGAGGGCUAGAGUGCAGGAGAGGGAAGCGGAAUUCCUAGUGUAGCGGUGAAAUGCGUAGAUAUUAGGAGGAACACCAGUGGCGAAGGCGGCUUUCUGGACUGUAACUGACACUGAGGCACGAAAGCGUGGGGAGCAAACAGGAUUAGAAACCCCUGUAGUCC
rnacentral:rRNA from 1 species